rnacentral:rRNA from 2 species
UGGGGAAUAUUGGGCAAUGGAGGAAACUCUUACCCAGCAAUGCCGCGUGACUGAAGAAGGUCUUCGGAUUGUAAAGGUCUUUGAUUAGGGACGAAUAAAUGACGGUACCUAAAGAACAAGCCCCGGCUAACUACGUGCCAGCAGCCGCGGUAAUACGUAGGGGGCAAGCGUUGUCCGGAAUGACUGGGCGUAAAGGGUGUGUAGGUGGUUUAUUAAGUUAGAAGUGUAAUACCCAGGGCUCAACCCGGGUGCUGCUUCUAAAACUGAUGAACUUGAGUGCAGGAGAGGAAAGUGGAAUUCCUAGUGUAGCGGUGGAAUGCGUAGAUAUUAGGAGGAACACCAGUGGCGAAGGCGGCUUUCUGGACUAUAACUGACACUGAGGCACGAAAGCGUGGGGAGCAAACAGG